rnacentral:tRNA from 1 species
CCGGGCAUGGCCUAGUGGUUAUGACGUCUGCUUUACACGCAGAAGAUCCCGGGUUCGAUGCCCCGUGCCCGUA